UCAGUUGCUUGCGCACAGUGAAUCGCGAAACAAGCGCAGGCCCCGCGCCUCACACAACAACAGCAACAACUGCAGCAGCAGCGGCGUCUGGCUGGUCGCGCGCCAAACCGUUACGAAGAGAGCGAAACGAAAAUUGAGUUCUGCAAGAAAUUUACAAGUGUCUGCCAGUGGCUGUGUGUACGUGUGUACGUGCGCGGGAUCAUUGCACAUUGCGUCAACGUUUCAAGAUCACAAUUACCCCCAACAGUAGAGGCCCCGCCCCGACCCGCCCCGCCCUGUACUAGCAGCAGCUGUUGCUGCGGGUGCGCGGGCGCGCGCGCUCGGGUGUCGGGGCAAUGAGCAAUUACAAAAAUUCAAUAGAGCCCCAUCGUCAGAGCAACAAUCACAAAUAUACAUACAACAAAAAACAUACUUAAAAAAAAAAACUAUCAACAAUACACCCGCAACAGAAAACAGCCGCAAGCACCAGC